rnacentral:rRNA from 1 species
AUUGAACGCUGGCGGCAUGCCUUACACAUGCAAGUCGAACGGCAGCACGGGAGCAAUCCUGGUGGCGAGUGGCGAACGGGUGAGUAAAGUAUCGGAACGUGCCCAGUCGUGGGGGAUAACGUAGCGAAAGUUACGCUAAUACCGCAUACGAUCUAUGGAUGAAGGCGGGGGAUCGCAAGACCUCGCGCGAUUGGAGCGGCCGAUAUCAGAUUAGGUAGUUGGUGGGGUAAAGGCCCACCAAGCCGACGAUCUGUAGCUGGUCUGAGAGGACGACCAGCCACACUGGGACUGAGACACGGCCCAGACUCCUACGGGAGGCAGCAGUGGGGAAUUUUGGACAAUGGGCGAAAGCCUGAUUCAGCCAUGCCGCGUGCAGGAUGAAGGCCUUCGGGUUGUAAACUGCUUUUGUACGGAACGAAAAGGACUGCCCUAAUACGGUGGUCCCAUGACGGUACCGUAAGAAUAAGCACCGGCUAACUACGUGCCAGCCGCCGCGGUAAAAC